rnacentral:lncRNA from 1 species
CAAUGGUUGGGGAAGGUGACGUGCAAAUUUGCCUUCAGGUGGAGCAUGUAGCGGCAUACUAGCGUCAGCCCACAGCUGGUGAGAGAUGGGACGCCAGCAAUGUCAUUGUGUUAAGGGGAAGCUGGUCCGGUUGUCCUUCUGGCGCCCUGGUGGUGAGCCUGGUGAGUGCGUCGUCAGAAUCUGGCAGGAAUGGCAGUGCAAUCUGUGCUCAGUGAUGGAAAUUUCUCCAGUGCAGUUUCUAAGAGUCGCGGUGAAUUCAUCCAUUUGCUGCAUUUGAAUGACUUUUGCUGCUGCUGAAGAUACAAAAUUCUGUGCUGUACAUUACUCGUGAAGUGUGAAGUGUGAGGUGUGAAGUGUGAGGCUCGAGCGAGCAAUGGCAGCCCCAUUGGAGUAAACCUUCAGUGUCCCAAGGGAGCGGCUCCGAGGGCGAGGGCUCCCUCAGCGUGGAAGCUCUGGCACGUGUCUGAAGAUGAGUCACCGCAGCUCGUCCCCACACUGCUCCGUGGAAUAGCCAGCAUGCUGCAGCGUUAUUAUUCAUAACAGCCCAGUGUGGAAAUAAUCAAGUGUCCAUCAAGUAGCCCGUGGAUAAACAAAAUGUGGCAUAGCUAUACAAUGAAAUCUUAUUAAGCCAUAAAAAGGAAUGAAAUUCUGACACAUGCUACAACAUGGAGGAACCUUGAAAGCAUUAUGGUGUUCAGUGUUCUCCACAGCGGGCUGAAGAGGCCGGAGUUGUCAGGCAAGAGACUGACUUGUCUGCUUGUACUUGAAAUGGAUUCGAAGAAACACAUGCAUUUGUCGAGGGGAAAACGCUUUCAAGGAGAGACCAUUUGAUGCUAAAAGGACCAUUUGAUGCUCUUUUAACCCUCUUGGUUUUAUUCAACUCCUUUCAUUACUUUCUGUUCCUGGCACCUUACCGAAGGAAGAAUAUGCCAAGAGUUUGAAUGAUGAAAGAGUAUUCUAUAUUUUUAGCUAUAUUUGCAUUUUACAAGUUUAUUUGAAAGAUAGUUUUGUGCAGUUAAUCUUUUUUUCUGUUUAAAUUAUUUUGAAAAUCUUAAAAAUAUCAUUUUUAGCCUUUUAAAUAAAUAUCAAAAUGCCCAUUACAAAAGGCUUCUUCAAUUCCAUGUAAGAAUUUAACUGUAAUAUGAACCAGGCUUAGAUGACGUCUAUAAAUUAGCCCAAGAAAAUUCCUGUAAUUCCUGGCUAUGAGGUUGUUUCUGAGGGGUGGUGGAUUUCUGGUCAUCCCAUAUUUCCUCAAUGCCUCCUACUUCAAGAGUAGAAAAUAUCGAUAGCGUCGCUGCUCAUGGGCAAAGGCCCAGUUGUCCUUCAGGAUGAUCUCAGUUCUGAUGAAUAUUUGGGUCUAUGAAAAGAAAAUUAUAGAAUAUUAAAA